GUGCAUGGCUUUUAACUUGAAAAUGUACUGGUUUCGAUCUUGCCAGAUACACCACAAGUGAGUUGUCUUGCCAGAUUUGAGCUGUCCAUGGGCAUAACAGCAAAGUGUGUUCUAUGGUCUCCGCUUCUUUUUGACAUAUGGGACAAAGUGGGUCUGGUACUAUUCUCCUCUAGUAUAAAUUAUCCACUGUAGGUAAUGCGUUUUGGCAUGUGUUCCAGAGAAAUAGCCAUACUUUGGGUAGAAUUCUUGAACACUAGAUGUGUUUCCAAAUAUCUAGCUUUGUUUGGUAGGAGGAAGUAGCUUUGUUGUGGUGUGGGGUUGCUGCGCUAUCUCUUAUGUUGAAGUAUCUGCUCUUUACUGUAUAUGACCCAGAUUUAUUCUGCAUCCAUACCAAUUUAUCUUUUGAUGUGUGUAAUCCAAUAGGUAUAGUAAGGAUUUCUAUCGCCCUUUGUUCAUCAAACAUCCUUCGGAUCAUUGUUUCAUUCCAUGUGCCAUUCCCCUGUUCUAUGAGUUCGCCCACCUUCUCUAGCGCAUCUCUCGUAGCUCGGGCCUCCAAUUAGUCCGCUUCUUAGCCAUUUAUCUUCCCUUACCAAAAUUUGCUGACCAUUACCAAUAGACCACAUAACAUUUGGAGAUAUAGAAUCCUUCCCACAACAAUGCUUCGCCAUCCCCACGAGGGUCUUGAGCCAUUUCCAGCUUUCCAGAAAGUCACAAUUAGGGUAGUAUAAGCCCUUCAUUAGUCUACUCAAUAGGGAGUUAGGUUGCUAUGAAAUCCACCAUGCUUGCUUUCCUAGCAUUGCCACAUUAAAAGCUAGUAAAUCUUUAAAGCCAAGCCCUCAUUCAUCCUUCCUAAGUUUCAAAGUCUCCAAUUUCUUCCAAUGAAUCCUAGUAGAGUUUUUCCCAUUUUUCCACCAAAAAUUAGCAAUCUUCCGCUCAAUUGCUUUACAUAUAGAUAUCGGGAUCUUGAAAAUAGACAUUGCGUAUUGUGGAAUAGCCUGCACCACUGAUUUAAUUAAUAUCUCCUUUCCUGCUUUAGUCAGCAAAUUUUCCUUCCAACUUUCUAAUUUUUUGUUCACUCGAGCCAAAAUCCAGGCGAACACAUCUUUCUUUGAGCCUCCCCAAUCUGAGGGAAUACCAAGGUACUUCCCUAUUUUGUCUAUUUUUGGGACCCUCAAAGAUACCAUUGUCUUUGAAAGUGUAAAAGUUGUCAUUGAAUCUAGGUAGAGAAAAAGAAAAUCCCACUGUAUAUCCAACGUAUCUAUGUAACGCUCUUCCUCACGUGUAAUUUGAUAUAAUACUUGAGAUGGUUGAGUUAAAUUGCUGAA